rnacentral:rRNA from 1 species
GGAGGAUCCGAGCGUUAUCCGGAUUUAUUGGGUUUAAAGGGAGCGUAGGCGGGUGCUUAAGUCAGUUGUGAAAGUNUGCGGCUCAACCGUAAAAUNGCAGUUGAUACUGGGCGCCUUGAGUGCAGCAUAGGUAGGCGGAAUUCGUGGUGUAGCGGUGAAAUGCUUAGAUAUCACGAAGAACUCCGAUUGCGAAGGCAGCUUACUGGGCUGUAACUGACGCUGAUGCUCGAAAGUGUGGGUAUCAAACAGGAUUAGAUACCCUGGUAGUCCACACAGUAAACGAUGAAUACUCGCUGUUGGCGAUACACAGUCAGCGGCCAAGCGAAAGCAUUAAGUAUUCCACCUGGGGAGU